GAAGUUAGCAGCAAGGACAGACACAUUACCCGAAACAGGUAUGUUUUCUAGUUGACUUCCCGUUGACAACCAAGACACAGAGGCACUCCUCAGUGCUGAGGGAAGGUCCCAGGCACACUGAAUUACAGCUCAAUGGUAUUAUAAAGUGCAAAAGCUGUGGUGGCAGAAAGCAGGACGCACAACUUAUUCAUUUAGAGCAUAAACUGACGUAUGUACAUCUUGAGUACACAGAUGUAGAAGAGUGUGAGGGCAAAGUUCUGCAGGUGCUUUGGCAACUUGGGAAUUGUAUAAAUGUGACAGACAGACCAGCAAAAUUGGGACCGGAGAGAUGGCUCAGCAAUUCAGGGUACUUGUUCUUACAGAAGACCCAGAGCAUGACCCUAGCACCCACACAGUGACUCACAAUGAUCCCCAAUUCCAAUCCUUUUGAUCUUUAUGAGCACCAAAAAUUCACAUGGUACACAUACAUGCAGGCAAACCCUACACAGAAAAUAAAAUAAAAAUAAAUUAAUACACAAAUACAGCAUAUUAUCACAUGGAUCACUCAUGUAUAGCCACAGUUUUAUUGAGGAACCUGCUAGUUCGAUUUCAGUUGACAUGGGAAUGUGUCACAUAAGGGGCAGAGUGACAGAGCUAUUGAUGACACAUAUGGUGUUUUCUUCUUUCUUUUUGAGGAAACUGUGCUAUAAAAUAUUUGCCGUCUCUGCCACUAUCUUCUUUCACCUCUCAAAGGCAACUCUUUUCACUUUUCCUGCCAGGAAAGUUAGCGUCCAAUGGGAUGCUGAAAAUCAGGAUGGGAUAUUCUCCACCUGGCAGCCUUUAUGGGCCGCAGCUGCCUAUCCCAACAACUGCCAGUCCUGACCACAGUGACCGCCAUUGUCUCUGGUUCUGACUUUCCACUUACACAUUAUUCUGGGACUGAGCAUGAUUGUCUCGCCACAUGGACUCCCACAGACGGCUGAAUUAUACCAUCCCUUUUCAGGCAAAGUUGGGCAACAGAAGACAUCUUGUAGAAUUCAAAGGUGGUGGUGAUAUUGUCCUUGGCCAUAGUCAGCCUCCAUGUUCACCAGAUAAAGCACUUUUCCCUCCUUUUUUCUUCUCUGUCUUUUGCUCUUCCUUUCCUUUCUGUUUCGUUCCCUUCUUUUGUAUGCAACCUGCAUGCACCAGCUUUUAUGAAACAUUCCCAUGUUUCAAGGUUCCUUUUGAACUUGCUGACUGUACAAAAAUUCCCUCCUUUUUCAUCUCUUCUUUUCCUUCUUUCAUGGUCAACUUUGCUGGCCUAAGUAGAAGGUCACAUUUUCUGCAAAGCAUUCUCUAUCACCAUGUACAAAAGCCAUUGACUUUCAUCUUUUGGAAUUAUUUUUGCAUUACCCUUAGUUCCAAAUGUUGUCACAUUGGAUCAUGACUCUGAGAGUAGUUAUUCAGGGGUGGUAUGUGGUUGAACCAAAAUGAUGAUUAGAUAGGCCUUAGGCUGUGACUCAGUGGUUAGAGAUCCUGUCUACUAGGUACAAAGCCCUAAGUUUUAUCCCUAGGACCACCAAAACCAGGGAUGGUGGUGUGUAUCUGUAAUUCUAACAUUCAAGAGGUAGAGACAGGAAGUUUGCAAGUUUAAGGAAAUCUUUAAACAGGAUAUAGAAAAUCUGUCUCAAAAAAAAAGAAAAAGGAAAAGAAAAAAGAAAGGUAAAUUAGUUAUUAGAUAAAUACAAUAUCCUAUAAUGUUUUGGAGAAAAAUUUCCUGAAUACAUGGAAGCAAAAUAGAGAGGCUGUCUCACCGGAAUCUAAGAACUAUCCAUAGCUCCAGAGUCAUCUUGGGAACUCAGGAGCAUCAUGGCUCAUCAGAUAAAGCAAGAGUUUUAAAGUUGGGGGGCUGGUAUCAGAGGUUGGCUCUGUCAUCAUCUAUUCCAGGAUGACGUGCUCUGACUGGAACCCUCAUGUCCCCAGCAGUAACACAGAGUGCCUGUACUUUCCCACAGGUAUGCUGAGGCAGUGCAAUGACAUGUGCGGUGUGGGUGUCCCUGGCACUUGAAUUACCCUCAGAAGUACUAACUUUAUUUUUGUCUCCCUCAGAGUUUUCUGGAACAUGUCUCUGCAGAGUAUCCUCUCAUCUGUGACCUGAGUGUCCCUUCAACAUUGAGGCCCUGAGGCCUCCGUUGGCAUAUUCAUUCAGCUACUUAUGCUUCACAGGCUCUCUUUCACAGAUGUGCCUGCCCCUCAGGAGGCAUCUGGGUGCAAGCAGGCCUGUUCAUCCUGUGGCUCAGGACAGCUAUGAAUGUGGCUCAACACAAAACCAUACACAUUCUUAAAACACUGGGAUUUUUGUUCUAUUUGUUGAAACAGGGUCUCACUGAACACAGGCUGGCCCCCAAAAUCACCAUGUAUCUGAGGGUGGCUUUGAGCUCCUGAUCUUUCUGCCUUUACCUUCCGAGUGCUGGGGUUAUAGAUACAUAUUAUCACCCACAAUGUAUGUGGUUCAAGGGACUGAACCUGGACCUUUCUGCAUGCUAAGUACUCACUUUAUCAACUGAUGCACAUUCCUAACCCAAUGGUUUCUUCUUUAACUUGAUGGCACAGUUCUCUAGCACAAACAUUGUAUAUGUUUGUAGAUGUCCUGUCACCAUGUGGAAAGUUUGAACAUGUCUGUUGGAUCUUCUAGAUAGUAUCACUGUUUCCUAGUUUUAUCAUCUAUUCAACUGAGAUCCUGAAACAUCUUGGUCGAUUUGUCCUAGGGCAGGAAACAUAUGACUAGAAUUUCCAUUCAGGGAAGCUCCAUUUGGUCUUCCCUGCCUUCUCUUCCAUGGUUUGGUCUUCCCCAUGGCUAUCUGCCCUGUUGAUCAUCAAGUAGCAGCUAUCUCUACCUGCCAGCUCGUCAAGAAGGACAGUGUUGAGAGAGCAGCUGGAACCAACAGAGAUAAAUGUGACUCACGAGCAGACAUGAAGACAGAAAGUCUACUUGGAAGAGCUGACUACGGCGUAGACCUUAAAAUCAAAUUCCUUGACGGAUUAUGUCAUGUUUACAUUCUUGAGUGUCAAUGAUCUAAAGAUUGAGAAGUUAAUUCUCAGAAGGAGGGGAAUGGGCUCUAGGAUAUGAUAUAGUCCAACACUUGAAUCAUGGCAACUUCAAGUAGAGUAUUAAGGAAGGAAGCUCUUCAUAGAAAAGCCUCCACAGACCAAGGGCAGCACACGCUAGCACCGUCAGUGGAGGACCAUGGCAGAAGAGUUACAUCCAAGAAAUGAGGCCACAUCCUAAACCUGCGGAUACUUUUCAAUGUAAAUGCAUAAGUGAGUUCCUCCAAGAAAAGGUCUCGAAUCUAUACCAAUUUCACUAUGAGUGUUAGUUAUUCUAUUUUAUUUUUUUUGUGUGUGUGUGUACAUAUUUGUAUUUGUGUGUGUACAUAUUUGUAUUUGUGUGUCUACAGGAGGUUAUUUUUACCAGACACAUGCAGGUACCCACAAAGGCCAGAGGGAAUUGGAUGUCCUAGAACUGGAGAUAUAGAAGGUUGUGAGCUGACUGAUGUGGGUGCUGGAAACUGAAUCCAGGUUUUCUAUAGGAGAAAUAAACACUUUUAACCCUUUAAGCAUCUCUCCACCCACAAAAUGGUAACUAUUCUUAGUGCCUUGGUUCCUGUUCCUUCACUACCUAGCCUUCCUCAUCACUAUAGUCUACGUCAUUCAGUCUCUGUCCUGCAGACAUAUGAGAAUAUGGUUAGUAAUUCUAACUUACAGUGUGGUAGAGGAUUUAGUGUGUGUGCUUGUGCAUGCACGCACAGGUGCAUAUGUGGCGUGUGUGCACACACCUGACAGAUGUGUGGGCAUCUGAAGAAAACCUCCCGUGCUCAUCCUUUGGUAACUUUCGCCUUUUGUUUAAGGCAGGGUCUCUUCACUCAGUGGCCUGGAACAUCAUCAUGUCAGCCAGACUAGCUAGCUUGUGAGCUCCACAAAUCCCCCUGUCUCUGUUUCCCUCUCACCAACCCUAGAAUUAUAGACGUAUACAAUAAUACAUAGUUUCUUCUGUGAACUCAAAUUCAGGUCCCCAUGCCUGUGAAGCAAGUGCUUUAUUGACUGAGACAACUCCCGAGCCAUAGGCUAUGGUUUAUAUAUAAACCACAUUCUAAAGUGUUUAGCUAGAGAACUGCCCCAUAGUGAUAGCCCCUGCCUGGUGGUUGUUGUCAUAAUGACAGUAGAAUGAGCAGCAACUGGUUUGGCCCACUAAGUGAGUGAACCCAAAAAUUCUCCUGCUAAGUGGUUAAUUUUCCACUGCUAACUGGGUAAAUAAAGUGCACUUACAAGUUCAAA